rnacentral:rRNA from 1 species
UGGCGAACGGUCGCGUAACACGUGGGCAACCUGCCCUGAAGCGGGGGACAACACACCGAAAGGUGUGCUAAUACCGCAUGUGGAUCGCUGUGGCAUCACAGAUUAUCCAAAGCCGCAAGGCACUUCAGGAUGGGCCCGCGGCCUAUCAGCUAGUUGGUGAGGUAACGGCCCACCAAGGCUUCGACGGGUAGCUGGUCUGAGGGGACGAUCAGCCGGAUUGGGACUGAGAUACGGCCCAGACUCCUACGGGGGGCAGCAAUUAGGAAUCUUGCGCAAUGGGCGAAAGCCUGACGCAGCGACGUCGCGUGAAGGAUGAAAUCUUUCGGGAUGUAAACUUCUUUUUUCGGGGAAGAAACAAAUGACGGUACCCGAAGAAUAAGCCCCGGCUAACUACGUGCCAGCAGCCGCGGUAAUACGUAGGGGGCGAGCGUUGUCCGAAGUUUACUGGGCGUAAAGAGCGCGUAGGCGGGUCUUUAAAGUGAGGGGUGAAAGGUUCGGGCUCAACCCGGACACUGCCUUUUCAUUACUGGAGAACUUGAAUUGC